rnacentral:rRNA from 1 species
AGGAAAGCAGGGGAUCGUAAGACCUUGCGUUAAUGGAGCGGCCGAUAUCUGAUUAGCUAGUUGGUGGGGUAAAGGCCCACCAAGGCUUUGAUCAGUAGCUGGUCUGAGAGGACGACCAGCCACACUGGAACUGAGACACGGUCCAGACUCCUACGGGAGGCAGCAGUGGGGAAUUUUGGACAAUGGGCGCAAGCCUGAUCCAGCCAUUCCGCGUGAGUGAAGAAGGCCUUCGGGUUGUAAAGCUCUUUCGCAAGGGAAGAAAACUUAUCUAAUAACACUAGGUGAGGCUGACGGUACCUUGAUAAGAAGCACCGGCUAACUACGUGCCAGCAGCCGCGGUAAUACGUAGGGUGCGAGCGUUAAUCGGAAUUACUGGGCGUAAAGCGUGCGCAGGCGGUUCUGUAAGUCAGAUGUGAAAUCCCCGGGCUCAACCUGGGAACUGCGUUUGAAACUACAAGGCU